rnacentral:sRNA from 1 species
ACGACAUCGGACAUCAUUUAUCUAAAACCUACUUCUACUCCUGGCCAUCAGGGGUGGGAAAGUCAUUAUAUCAGGAACGCCGCCAAUAGAGAACUUUCGCAUUGGAUACUUGAGUAAGCUCGUCAGCGGUCAUCUAAAAUGCAGCAGAAGUAAAAAAAAACUGAAAGUGUACAUGCGUGUCAUCAAUUUAGGAAAGUCUAUCGAGAAAUUAGGAGAAAAAUAGCCCUGAAUUCUUCAACAUGUUCCUAGCAACCCAUCACCAUUACUCGUCAUCAUGGACCAAUUACUCGCUGUCCUCGUCCUCGUCCUGCUCCUCACGCAAAGCCUUCUCAACUUCUGACCUCUUUUGCUCCCUGAUCUUCCUCUGCAAUCUCAUCCAGUUUCCAAUGGGAGUCACUUCAGGCCCCUGUCCUUCCAAGAACCUGUCGACCUCUGCCCUAUCCCUAGGAGCAAAAGAGACGUUUCGACGCUUGUUCUCAAUGAAUGUUCGGGUAGCCUCGAGUUUCUCAACAAGGGCCUUAAGGGAAGAGACAACCUUGGGAGAACCAGCAGACCCCUUCUUGAUGUGCUUCUUGAUGGUCAAGAUAACAGGCAAAACCAUUUCGGGGAAGGCAACUUGUGUAGAGACAGCGGCAUGGUAUUCUCCCAAAAGGAACACCAACUCUUCACCCAAGCCUUCCUGGAAGACUCGAGUCUUGGGAUAAGCCGCAGGGGCACGGAUGAUGUACUCGAAGUCAAGAGGCUUGAUAGUACCUUUCUUGGGGUUGGCGCGUCUGAACUCGGUAGAAUCGAGGAUCUCGAGAAGGAAGGGAGCGAGGGGAAUGUAAGUGCCGGUGCGACUGAUGAUACGGAGGAGAGAGUGAAGGAUGUGGAAUCGGAGAGGGAAGUAUCGCGAGGAAGGAAGGAGUCUAUAUUUUUCGUUAACUGUCAACUCAUACAUUACUGUGUUUCUGAGACUUACCGGACAGCACCCAAUGCAAUCUGAACAAGGGGAUAGACCAAAGGCUUCAAAGGGCUUUCCAAUCCAGCAUUCGCCUUCUGGUUCUCAACGCUUGCCGCACCAGCCAAAACCUGACUCCAGAAAUCGAUACAAUGGACAUAUUGCCAGUUGUAAACUGUCUUAAAGGCCUGUUGAUUGUCACCUGCCUUGCCGGUGGUACUUGACCGCACAACAUUACGCAAAUGCACAGCAAGCAUACGGAUAAAGCCGAAGGCAUGCUGGUAAGAAAGAGAGGGGGCGAGUUGAUAAAGCUCAGAAGCAGUGUUCUUCAUGAGGUUGAGAGAUGGAAGGGUAUGCGGAG